CUUUGGGUCUCCGGAAUGCUGCAAGCACCAGGGAGACACAGGAUGCCUUUGCUCUGAUAAGAGGGGGCUGCCACCUGCAGACACAGGAUGGGGUCAUAGACAGCAGCCCUGGACACGCGGAGGCGCCUGCAUCAGGAGCAGGGAGUGGGAGCUGGAGACAGGAGAUGCCGAAGGACCCUCCCCAGGAGGGAGACGGGACGGGGCCCCAGGGCUAUUUGUGGAUAGAACCUGCUUUGCUCCUGGAGUGCACCGGAGAGACUCGGAGACGCCUCAGCAACGUUUUAAAUCGUUACCGGGGAGGAGCCAGAAAGUGGAGGGUAAGGUCCAGGGAACAGGAGACAGAAACGGACGACAUCUGCAUUUGAUGGCUGGACGCUGAUGUACAAACCACACUGCGCAUACUGCAGCCCAGGAGGGCAUCCACCCAUCUGCUGCUAUCAGCCCGUGUCCAGAGACUCCCAGCUCCCUUAACUUCUGUCUGCACUUUCAACUCGGAACCAACCAGAGAACCCCCAACGUGCCCCCUGCUUCCCCAGGCCUUGGCCUCUGAUCAAGGGAGCCAGGAGCCAUCCCUGUUCCAUGGUGAAGUGUCCCCUCCCCUGCCUGUCGUUAGGUCUCAGCUGGGCAGAGGGACAGUGGAGGACUCCCUGCUGUAGG
rnacentral:lncRNA from 10 species